rnacentral:lncRNA from 1 species
GUCUUUCUAUUUCUUGCAUUCUUGUUUGUUGCUUGGAAUUCACUUCUAUCUUGUCCAUCUCCGCUAUUUUUCUCUAAGUUCAGGUGAUGGUGCCUCUACCCCUCCUCGUUGCGUGAAUCCUGGCUGGGCUGGUGGUUCCAAGCGGUUCUGAUCAUGUGAAGUUGCCGAAGCCAGUGCCAGUUCCAAGCAACCUUAGCAACAGGUGAAGCGGAUUUUCGCAAGAAGGCUCCCAAAGGCCUUGAUGAGAUGGCGAAUGUUGAAUUUGUG